rnacentral:rRNA from 1 species
AGCAGCCGCGGUAAUUCCAGCUCCAAUAGCGUAUAUUAAAGUUGUUGCAGUUAAAAAGCUCGUAGUUGAACUUCGGGGUUUACCCAUUGGUCAGGCUUAAUUGUCUGUACUGGUGAGAUAAAUCUCUACCUUCUGAGGAACUUUCAUGUCAUUAAUUUGGUGUGAUUGGAAAUCAGGACUGUUACUUUGAAAAAAUUAGAGUGUUUAAAGCAGGCUAACGUCUGAAUACAUUAGCAUGGAAUAAUGAAAUAGGACGGACUGAUUCUAUUUCGUUGGUUUCUAGGAUCACCGUAAUGAUUAAUAGGGAUAGUUGGGGGCAUUAGUAUUCAAUUGUCAGAGGUGAAAUUCUUGGAUUUAUUGAAGACUAACUACUGCGAAAGCAUUUGCCAAGGAUGUUUUCAUUAAUCAAGAACGAAAGUUAGGGGAUCGAAGACGAUCAGAUACCGUCGUAGUCUUAACCAUAAACUAUGCCGACUAGGGAUCGGACGAAGUUAAUUUUUAAUGACGCGUUCGGCACCUU